rnacentral:rRNA from 1 species
UAAGUUAUUAAGGGCGCACGGUGGAUGCCUUGGCACUAGAAGCCGAUGAAGGACGUUACUAACGACGAUAUGCUUUGGGGAGCUGUAAGUAAGCUUUGAUCCAGAGAUUCCGAAUGGGGAAACCCAGCAUGAGUUAUGUCAUGUUAUCGAUAUGUGAAUACAUAGCAUAUCAGAAGGCACACCCGGAGAACUGAAACAUCUUAGUACCCGGAGGAAGAGAAAGAAAAUUCGAUUCCCUUAGUAGCGGCGAGCGAAACGGGAAGAGCCCAAACCAACAAGCUUGCUUGUUGGGGUUGUAGGACACUCUAUACGGAGUUACAAAGGACGACAUUAGACGAAUCAUCUGGAAAGAUGAAUCAAAGAAGGUAAUAAUCCUGUAGUCGAAAAUGUUGUCUCUCUUGAGUGGAUCCUGAGUACGACGGAGCUACGUGAAAUUCCGUCGGAAUCUGGGAGGACCAUCUCCUAAGGCUAAAUACUCUCUAGUGACCGUAUAGUGAACCAGUACCGUGAGGGAAAAGGUGAAAAAGCUACCCCCGGAAGGGGGUAGUGAAAUAGAACCUGAAACCGUGUGCUUACAAGUAGUCAGAGCCCGUUAAUGGGUGAUGGCGUGCCUUUUGUAGAAUGAACCGGCGAGUUACGAUUUGAUGCAAGGUUAAGCAGUAAAUGUGGAGCCGUAGCGAAAGCGAGUCUGAAUAGGGCGUUUAGUAUUUGGUCGUAGACCCGAAACCAGGUGAUCUACCCUUGGUCAGGUUGAAGUUCAGGUAACACUGAAUGGAGGACCGAACCGACUUACGUUGAAAGUGAGCGGAUGAACUGAGGGUAGCGGAGAAAUUCCAAUCGAACCUGGAGAUAGCUGGUUCUCUCCGAAAUAGCUUUAGGGCUAGCCUCAAGUGAUGAUUAUUGGAGGUAGAGCACUGUUUGGACGAGGGGCCCCUCUCGGGUUACCGAAUUCAGACAAACUCCGAAUGCCAAUUAAUUUAACUUGGGAGUCAGAACAUGGGUGAUAAGGUCCGUGUUCGAAAGGGAAACAGCCCAGACCACCAGCUAAGGUCCCAAAAUAUAUGUUAAGUGGAAAAGGAUGUGGCGUUGCCCAGACAACUAGGAUGUUGGCUUAGAAGCAGCCAUCAUUUAAAGAGUGCGUAAUAGCUCACUAGUCGAGUGACACUGCGCCGAAAAUGUACCGGGGCUAAACAUAUUACCGAAGCUGUGGAUUGUCCUUUGGACAAUGGUAGGAGAGCGUUCUAAGGGCGUUGAAGCAUGAUCGUAAGGACAUGUGGAGCGCUUAGAAGUGAGAAUGCCGGUGUGAGUAGCGAAAGACGGGUGAGAAUCCCGUCCACCGAUUGACUAAGGUUUCCAGAGGAAGGCUCGUCCGCUCUGGGUUAGUCGGGUCCUAAGCUGAGGCCGACAGGCGUAGGCGAUGGAUAACAGGUUGAUAUUCCUGUACCACCUAUAAUCGUUUUAAUCGAUGGGGGGACGCAGUAGGAUAGGCGAAGCGUGCGAUUGGAUUGCACGUCUAAGCAGUAAGGCUGAGUAUUAGGCAAAUCCGGUACUCGUUAAGGCUGAGCUGUGAUGGGGAGAAGACAUUGUGUCUUCGAGUCGUUGAUUUCACACUGCCGAGAAAAGCCUCUAGAUAGAAAAUAGGUGCCCGUACCGCAAACCGACACAGGUAGUCAAGAUGAGAAUUCUAAGGUGAGCGAGCGAACUCUCGUUAAGGAACUCGGCAAAAUGACCCCGUAACUUCGGGAGAAGGGGUGCUCUUUAGGGUUAACGCCCAGAAGAGCCGCAGUGAAUAGGCCCAAGCGACUGUUUAUCAAAAACACAGGUCUCUGCUAAACCGUAAGGUGAUGUAUAGGGGCUGACGCCUGCCCGGUGCUGGAAGGUUAAGAGGAGUGGUUAGCUUCUGCGAAGCUACGAAUCGAAGCCCCAGUAAACGGCGGCCGUAACUAUAACGGUCCUAAGGUAGCGAAAUUCCUUGUCGGGUAAGUUCCGACCCGCACGAAAGGCGUAACGAUUUGGGCACUGUCUCAACGAGAGACUCGGUGAAAUCAUAGUACCUGUGAAGAUGCAGGUUACCCGCGACAGGACGGAAAGACCCCGUGGAGCUUUACUGUAGCCUGAUAUUGAAAUUCGGCACAGCUUGUACAGGAUAGGUAGGAGCCUUUGAAACGUGAGCGCUAGCUUACGUGGAGGCGCUGGUGGGAUACUACCCUAGCUGUGUUGGCUUUCUAACCCGCACCACUUAUCGUGGUGGGAGACAGUGUCAGGCGGGCAGUUUGACUGGGGCGGUCGCCUCCUAAAAGGUAACGGAGGCGCUCAAAGGUUCCCUCAGAAUGGUUGGAAAUCAUUCAUAGAGUGUAAAGGCAUAAGGGAGCUUGACUGCGAGACCUACAAGUCGAGCAGGGUCGAAAGACGGACUUAGUGAUCCGGUGGUUCCGCAUGGAAGGGCCAUCGCUCAACGGAUAAAAGCUACCCCGGGGAUAACAGGCUUAUCUCCCCCAAGAGUUCACAUCGACGGGGAGGUUUGGCACCUCGAUGUCGGCUCAUCGCAUCCUGGGGCUGUAGUCGGUCCCAAGGGUUGGGCUGUUCGCCCAUUAAAGCGGUACGCGAGCUGGGUUCAGAACGUCGUGAGACAGUUCGGUCCCUAUCCGUCGUGGGCGUAGGAAAUUUGAGAGGAGCUGUCCUUAGUACGAGAGGACCGGGAUGGACAUACCUCUGGUGUACCAGUUGUCGUGCCAACGGCAUAGCUGGGUAGCUAUGUGUGGACGGGAUAAGUGCUGAAAGCAUCUAAGCAUGAAGCCCCCCUCAAGAUGAGAUUUCCCAAACUUCGGUUAUAAGAUCCCUCAAAGAUGAUGAGGUUAAUAGGUUCGAGGUGGAAGCAUGGUGACAUGUGGAGCUGACGAAUACUAAUCGAUCGAAGACUUAAUCA